ACAUCAUCGCCAAUGAUGGCAGGCAUGUCAAACAUGUAAUAACCUAAAUCCAAAUAUCUGUAAUGAUGUUUACAUAUUGAAUAAAGUGUGUGUAUGCCAUAGUUUGUAACUAAUUUACAUUUCUUUUUUAUAUAGUUCAAUAAUAGUCACCCUGUACAAUGGAACAAAGUUUUAUGAAUAUUUCAGAAUGUCAGAAAAUACAUUCAACUUACAGUUGAACAAGUUGGAAGUUCAUCUGAAAAAGUAAAACACACACUGGAGAAAAGCCAUCACACCAAUACAAUGGAUCACCAUUUGCCUGAUAUACUUGACUGUUGGAGAUGUGCUGAAUAUGAUAUCAUUUAGCUGUCACAAGUACACAGUAUGGUUGAUAAGACCAUAUGGGAAACCUGCAAGAUAAUUACAGACAAUGAUGAAUCAAUUGAUGCCUGCUCUGACAGAAGAAAUGUGGAAGGACAUUGCUAAUGCUUUUUAUAAAAUGUGGCAUUUUUCUGAACUUCAUAGGAGCUAUGGAUGGGAAACACAUAUGUAAUAUGGCUCCUUCAAAAACUGGAUCACUAUUGUUCAAUUGCAAACAGACAUUCUCUAUAACUUUGUUGCCUAUUGUAGGUGCUCAGUGUACUUACAUUUCUAUUGAUGUCAGGGCACAUGGAAAGAUAAUGUUACAGUUAUAGCUAACACUCUCAGACAAUAGUCUUAGUCUUUUACCUAGCUGGUUGCAUUUGUUGAUGUAAAAUCAGAAAUAUACAUUUAAUUAUUUA